rnacentral:rRNA from 1 species
GGGGGUAAAUUAAUAAAAUAUAAAUAAUAAAAAAAUUUUUAAUAUUGGGGGGUAUUAAAGUAUUUUUUUAAGAAAAAAUAAAUUAUUUUAUAGUUAAAUAGUAUUGAAAAAGAAAUUUGAAAUAAUUGAAAAUGAAUUAAUGCAAAAGUAAUUUUUAUUUGAUGUAUCUUGUGUAUCAGAGUUUAUAAAAAAAUAUUUUUUUUAUAGGGAAAUCUCGAAUUUAAAAGAGUUAAUUAGUUAUAAAAGUUAAUGUAGAAAAAUUAUUUUAAAUAAUUAAUUUGAAAUGAAAUGUUAAUCGUUUUUGAAUAUAUCUAGUUAUUUUAGAAAAAAAUUUAAUUUGAAAUUUAAAAAAUUUUAUUUUUAAUUAUAAUUAAAAAUAAAAUUUUAAAAUUAAAUAUAUUAAGGGAUAAGCUUUAAUAUAAAAUUUUAUAAUUAAAAUUAAAAUUAAAUAAAAAUUUUAAGAUUUAUAUUGUUUAAAAAUUAUAAUUUAUUAUAAAAAAAUUUUAUUUAAAAUAAAAUUUAAUAAAAAUUUAAUUUUUUAUAAAAUAAUAAUAAGAAUAAGAAAAAAAUUAAAAAUAAUGAUAAAAUUAGUAUAUUAAGUUAAAAUAUAAUUUGAUUAAUAAAAAUUAAAUUAAAGGAAUUCGGCAAAAUUUUAUAUUCACUUGUUUAUCAAAAACAUGUCUUUUAGAAAAUAAUUUAAAGUCUAAUCUGCCCACUGAUAAUAUAUUAAAGGGCUGCAGUAUAUUGACUGUACAAAGGUAGCAUAAUUAAUAGUCUUUUAAUUGAAGACUUGUAUGAAAGAUUGGAUGAAAUAUUAACUGUCUCUAAUUUAAAAUUAAAAUUUAAUUUUUUAGUUAAAAAGCUAAAAUAAUUUUAAAAGACGAGAAGACCCUAUAGAGUUUUAUAUUGAAAUUAUUUAAGAUUAUAUGUAUAUAUAAAAAUUAAAAAUAAAAUAAAUAUUUUAUUGGGGUGAUAAAAAAAUUAAUUUAACUUUUUUUUUUCAUAGAACAUAAAUAAGUGAAUAAUUGAUCCAUUUUUAAUGAUUAAAAGAAAAAAUUACCUUAGGGAUAACAGCGUAAUAUUUUUUUUUAGUUCAAAUAAAAAAAAAAGUUUGCGACCUCGAUGUUGGAUUAAGAUAAAAUUUAAAUGCAAAAGUUUAAAAUUUUGAUCUGUUCGAUCAUUAAAAUCUUACAUGAUCUGAGUUCAAACCGGUGUGAGCCAGGUUGGUUUCUAUCUUUAAAAUAAGUAUGUAAAUGUUUUAGUACGAAAGGAUCAAAUAUUUUUAAUAAUUAAAAUUUAAUGAAUAUUAUUAAUUAAAAUUUAU